rnacentral:lncRNA from 1 species
UGCUUCCGGUAGUUCGGGGCGGGUUUGGGAACGGGGUUGGCGGAUGCCAGAAUUCCCAGUACAGAACCUUACGGCGUGAAGCGCCGUGAGGGAGCCGGUUCUUCCGCCAUAGAACACCAGGCCUUUCUCAAGACCUCUGACCUUUCACUGGGCAAGACGGCCGCGAGUCCCACGCAUGCUCAGUACUUCCGUGUGGGCCUUGGCGCUCAGUGACAGUCUGCUUCCGUAUCGUUGUGAACAUCAGGGCAGCAGUUCUGGUCACAUGGAUUUAUAAACACCAAGAAGUAGCAAUAGCCAGUGUGCAAGUCACUGACAACCCAAGUCACCAAAAAUCUUACUGAGAACCAAUUAGCUCCUUGAAUUAAAGAUUAUUUUGUGAAAAGAGGCUUGAUCAUCUUGUUACCUGAAAUAAAGCAUUUCCCAUUC